rnacentral:lncRNA from 1 species
ACCAGCCAGUCCUCAUUUGGCUCUCCUACACAUCGCUGGCCACCCAGUGAGAGCUGGGACUUCGGCUUGGAGACUUUGCGCUCCUUCUUGGGGACGUCCUGCACGGGAGAGCAUGCCCUCUCCAGGCACAGCUUCUUGGGGAAGCAAUGCUGGGAGCCGGAGGUCUGGGCUGAGGGGUAUUUACAUCAAAGGCAACAUUCACUGAAGGGUGGCUGGUGAAGACUCGGGUUCAUCAUCUCCACAGGGGCUGGGCUCUCAAAAACCAGGCGGCUGACCGGCUCAUUGGUCUCCGGAGGCAGGCUCAAGGUUUCCUGGAGGAUCAUCGGCUUCUUUCUUAGGCUGGUGAUCUCCUUGUCAGCACUCUGUAAGUCCUUCUGGGCUGACCUCAGUUCUAACUUGGCCUGAUCCAGCUCAGUGUUGAGAGUCUUCAACUUGCUCCUAGAGAACACCAAAUCCUUUUUCAACCUGUCAGCCAGCUCCCCUGAGGCCUUCCAAGCUUCCUUCAGAUUCUCAUACUCUUUCUUGAGGGACGCGCAGUACACAGCCAGCUGCUCCACGGCUGACUGUCCCACACCUAUGUCUCGGAUCAUCUCCUCCACCUCAGACCGCUGGCUCAUGGAGCUCAAUUUGCUCCAUGGUUUUUCAUCUUGCACUUGAGUCGGUGGGCCUCCUGCCGCUGCUCCAGGAACUUCAUUUGUUUUUUCAGGGUGGAACAUAGCAUCUCUGCCUUGUUUAAGGCGUUCUGCAGGGACUCCACAGUGGCAUUGCGUUCUUCCAGGGUGUCCCGUAGAGUGUCGAUAAUGGCCUGGCUGUCCCAUUUCUCCCUGUCUUUCUGGGAAAGCUGAGCUUCGACACUCUCCAGUUCAUUCUUUAAGAAUUCUACAUCCAAGACACUCUCCUCUUCCUGGGCGAGGUUGAAGAAAAGCUUGUUUAUAAUAGUCUUUUUGCCAACCUGGAUUCUAUCCUGUGGGCGGGUCCGACUUGGUGCUGUCUCAGACCACUGGAUUAGGCAUUGCUGAUGAAAAGUGUGGCCACAGUGGAUGGCAGCCAUGUCACGGGAGUGAUCGAAGAAGUCGGAGCAGAUAGUGCACAGAGCGCCGAUAGGCAUGAUGGCUCGACUCAAGCAGCCCAGAAAGCCAGCUGCCGACGACAGACACAGUUUGGUGGCCGAACCCGCCGCCGCUCUGGUUCCUUCAAAUUUUGCUCCACCGCACGACUUCUGAUAGUGAACCAGAAGGAAUAACAAACCCACGCCCGAGUGCUUCCCUCUGAUUGGACAAACUUCUAGGCAAGCAUUAUUAUCCUCCUCUUUCUGAACCAAAUCCAGACGAGGAUCUAAUCGGAUAGUUCCCCGAUCCUUGCCCAGGCUGGCCUCAAACUUCAAAGAUGGCUCUGGAUUUCUGAUCCUCCUGACUGAUUCUACCUGGAACUGAAGGCUUGCACCACAGUGAGAUGUGUUAAGGAUCAAAGUCGGCCUCACACACACGAGGCCAGCACUCUACCAACUGAGCUACCUUCUGGCCUCUGUAAGCUUAAAUUCUUGUCAUAUCGUUUUGUUUAAAGUGCUUUGUGGUUGCAGAUUUCUGAGUGUGAGGGCUGGCAUUUCACCAUACAACUUGGAUAUGACCCACGACGCCUAUUGCUGUUGGCUCUGACCUGGAACGGAAUGCUAGUGAUGUUAAUUUCAUGGGUUCUGAGCAAUAAGCAGUUCUCCCUGGGUUUGAGAAUCAGGAUGGUCACCUAAGUAGUGUAACAACGAGACCCGGUGUGUCCUGGUCUUCCCAUCUCCCUUCAUGGCCCCAAACCAUGCAGUUGGGCUCCCAUGUGCUAGGUCUCAUUUCUAUUUCCAAGUUACAGUUUCAGCGGAGAGGAGGAGAAGAGACCCUUGUUGACGGCUCUCAGAGAUGCUUAAAAUAUAUUUCACUUUCUAAAUUGGUAAAAAGGAUUCAAAUAAACAUACUCUUCCUACAAAGAAUCACAACAGGAAAACCCAAACAAAACCACACAAAAUUCCCCCAGUAAGUGGCAUUUUCCUGUUAUCCUGAAAUUGCAACAGAAUACCGAACCUCCAGUGUCAAGAACAAGCAUUUCCCGUCCCUUAACAUUUUACAUUUAGUAAGUUCACACACACACACACACACACACACACACACACACACACACACACACACGAAAGAGAGACAGAGACAGAGACAAAGACAGAGAGGCUGCACCCACCACUACUCUCCCUUCUAUAGCUUUCUGAGGCUGAGUCACACUCCCACUGCAUAUGCAAACUGAAGCUUAUCUAUCAAUCUGCGGAAGGACUUUUGUUUUUUCCCACCUUUUGACCAUUGUGAAGGAGAAUAUAUAAACAUUGCACAUUGCUGAACAAGUAACUUUUGUUUCCCCUCUUUACGGCUUUGGGUAUCUGCCCAGAAGCGAAACUGCCUAGGUACAGGUACACAUGAUGUUUCAUUUUUUGAGGACCCCAUCCCCCAAACACACACACCAUCACCUGGCACAGACAAGCCUUUUUACAUUGCCACCAGGAUGUGAAGGGUCCAACUUCCUGCAGGCCUUGCCAGUAUUGAUUGCUCUCCUUACAAAUAAAGAAUAAAAAGUUGAGGCUGAAUCUUAACAACAGGAUGGGGACUGGUGCGACCGUAAGAACUUAGCAACUGUUCAUUUGUGCAGUCUGAUCACUGAUGUGUGGAAAUGGGAAUUUGUUGGGAAUUUUCUGGAGACAAGAUAUGGAAACAAUAAAACAAUUUAAUUUUUAUACCCUUGAAUAAACCAGUUAUAAAAAUAAAGUGCUAAGCAGAGG